GGUUUGAUUCUGGCUCAGAUUGAACGCUGCGCAUGCUUUACAUGCAAGUCGAACGGCAGCACGACUGUCUGUGGCGAGUGGCGAACGGGUGAGUAAUGUAUCGGAACGUGCCUAGUAGCGGGGAUAACUACGCGAAAGCAGAAGCAUUACCGUAUACCGCCCUUCGGGGGAAAGCGGGGGGACCUUCGGGCCUCGCACUAUUAGAGCGGCCGAUAUCGGAUUAGCUAGUUGGUGGGGUAACGGCUCACCAAGGCGACAUCCGUAGCUGGUUUGAGAGGACGACCAGCCACACUGAUCAGACACGGCCCAGACUCCUACGAGAGGAAGCAGUGGGGAAUUUUGGACAAUGGGGAAACUCCCAUCCGCGCCUAUCCCGCGUGUGCGAUGAAGGCCUUCGUUGUAAAGCACUUUUGGCAGGAAGAAACGGCACGGGAUAAUACCCGUGCAACGACGGUACUCUGCAGAAUAAGCACCGGUUAAUCAUGCGCCAGUGCCGUAAUACGUAGUGUUAAUCGAACAAUGGGCGAAGCGUGCGCAGGCGGUUCGGAAGAGAUGUGAAAUCCCGAGCUUAAUCUUCUUGAACUGCAUUUUUAACUACCGAGCCGAGUGUGUCACGAGAGGAAUUCUGCGUGUAGCAGUGAAAUGCGUAGAUAUGCGGAGAACACCGAUGGCGAAAAGCAUUCUGGGAUAACACUGAGGCUCUGCACGAAAGCGCGGGAGCAAACAGGAUGAUACCGGAAUCACGCCCUAAAACGAAGUCAACUAUUGCUAAAUUUCGGCCUGGUAGCGCAGCUAACGCGUGAAGUUGACCGCCUGGGGAGUACGGUCGCAAGAUUAAAACUCAAAGGAAUUGACGGGACCCGCACAAGCGGUGGAUGAUGUGGAUUAAUUCGAUGCAAACGCGAAAACCUUACCUACCCUUGAUACAGUUCAAACCAGAAGAUCGAGUGCUCGCAGAGAAACCGGAACACAGGUGCUGCAUGGUCCUGUUUAAACGCCUGUGUCGUGAGAUGUUGGGUUAAGUCCCGCAACGAGCGCAACCUUGUCAUUAUUGCUACGAAAGGGCACUUAAUGAGACUGCCGGUGACAAACCGAUAUGGAUGACGUUAAGUCUCCGCCGGCUCCUUAUAGUAGGGCUUCACACGUCAUACAAUGGUCGGGACAGAGGGUCGCCAACCCGCGAGGGAGGGGAGCCAAUCCCAGAAACCCGAUCGGGAACUGGAUCGCAGUCUGCAACUCGACUGCGUGAAGCUUGAACGCAGGUAAUCGCGGAUCACAUGUCACGGGUGAAUAUGUUCCGGGUCUUGUACACACCGCCCGUCACACCAUGGGAGUGGGUUUUACCAGAAGUAGUUAGCCUAACCGUAAGUGAGGGCGAUUACCACAGUAGGAUUCAUGACUGGGGUGAAGUCGUAACAAGGUAG
rnacentral:rRNA from 1 species